rnacentral:tRNA from 1 species
GGGGAUGUAGCUCAGAUGAUAGAGUGCUUGCCUCACAUGUACAAGGCCCUGGGUUCAAUUCCCAGUACCACCA